UACGUAGGGCGCAAGCGUUGUCCGGAAUUAUUGGGCGUAAAGAGCUCGUAGGCGGUUGUCGCGUCUGCUGUGAAAGUCCGAGGCUCAACCUCGGAUCUGCAGUGGGUACGGGCAGACUAGAGUGUGGUAGGGGAGACUGGAAUUCCUGGUGUAGCGGUGGAAUGCGCAGAUAUCAGGAGGAACACCGAUGGCGAAGGCAGGUCUCUGGGCCACUACUGACGCUGGAGAAGCGGAAAGCAUGGGGAGCGAACAGG
rnacentral:rRNA from 1 species